rnacentral:tRNA from 1 species
AACGGCGCACCAUGAAUUAGUGGCGAGCGCAUUAGCUGUGGCAAAAGGAAAAGACAUCAAUCCAGAGUUCCAGAUC